GACUGUGUAGCGUAGUGGAAGCGCGUCUGCAUCACAAUCGCGAAUACCGCAGAAGGCCGCAGGUUCGAACCCUGCCACAGUCA